rnacentral:rRNA from 1 species
GACAGAGGGUGCAAACGUUGUUCGGAAUUACUGGGCGUAAAGCGUGUGUAGGCGGCCACGUAAGUCGGAUGUGAAAGCCCCGGGCUCAACUCGGGAAGUGCACUCGAUACUGCGUGGCUUGAGUACUGGAGAGGUUGGUGGAAUUCUCGGUGUAGAGGUGAAAUUCGUAGAUAUCGAGAGGAACACCGGUGGCGAAGGCGGCCAACUGGACAGAUACUGACGCUGAGACGCGAAAGCGUGGGGAGCGAACAGG